rnacentral:rRNA from 1 species
CUACCCGGGUAUCUAAUCCUGUUUGCUACCCACGCUUUCGUGCCUCAGCGUCAGUUAAAGCCCAGCAGGCCGCCUUCGCCACUGGUGUUCCUCCCCAUCUCUACGCAUUUCACCGCUACACGGGGAAUUCCGCCUGCCUCUACUUCACUCAAGCUCUACAGUUUCAAAUGCAGUUUAUGGGUUGAGCCCAUAGAUUUCACAUCUGACUUGCAAAGCCGCCUACGCACCCUUUACACCCAGUAAAUCCGGACAACGCUUGCUCCCUACGUAUUACCGCGGCUGCUGGCAC